rnacentral:lncRNA from 1 species
GUAAGUAUGAGUUCCCGCACCUCCGCCCCGCCACAGCCUCACACGCCUCCCCCUUUACACGCACGGUCACUUGCCCCGCGCACCCCCGAGCCCUCCUAGCCCUGACACACAGCUGGGACUCUCAGGUCCCACCAGCGGUCCUGAAUCGGCUCCCACGGCACGGGAACUCCUUCGUGGCUAAGCAGCAGGUGGCGAAGCAGCAGCCCCUGCGCUGCCUCAUCUACAUAGAAGUCGCCCUAUCCGUGAUGUCACCGACAGUGGCUUUCCCAGUCCCCGUCUGCCUUUCUGCCGCUCAGCCGACCAACACGCUGCUGGAGCCGGCAAGGGGAAGUGCCGCCUGUCUCUCCCUUUCUUCCCUCCCGUCCCGGCAUCUGUUCUCGCCCAAAGAAGCUGGUCCUUAGCCUGCGCUUCGGAGCAACCUUUCGGUGGCCAGCUGGAGCCUGGGCACCCUUCUUCAAAUAAUGGCUUUUAAUUUGCAGACUAGAACGUUUAGGAUUACAAAAGAAACCGGUUCUCUUCACAUCCUAGCAUUCCGCUUGAAAUUGGAAGCCGUUCAAUGUCAGAGAGAAA